rnacentral:rRNA from 1 species
CCUAAUACAUGCAAGGUCGAGCGGACCGACGGGAGCUUGCUCCCUUAGGUCAGCGGCGGACGGGUGAGUAACACGUGGGUAACCUGCCUGUAAGACUGGGAUAACUCCGGGAAACCGGGGCUAAUACCGGAUGCUUGAUUGAGCCGCAUGGUUCAAUUAUAAAAGGUGGCUUUCAGCUACCACUUACAGAUGGACCCGCGGCGCAUUAGCUAGUUGGUGAGGUAACGGCUCACCAAGGCGACGAUGCGUAGCCGACCUGAGAGGGUGAUCGGCCACACUGGGACUGAGACACGGCCCAGACUCCUACGGGAGGCAGCAGUAGGGAAUCUUCCGCAAUGGACGAAAGUCUGACGGAGCAACGCCGCGUGAGUGAUGAAGGUUUUCGGAUCGUAAAACUCUGUUGUUAGGGAAGAACAAGUACCGUUCGAAUAGGGCGGCACCUUGACGGUACCUAACCAGAAAGCCACGGCUAACUACGUGCCAGCAGCCGCGGUAAUACGUAGGUGGCAAGCGUUGUCCGGAAUUAUUGGGCGUAAAGCGCGCGCAGGCGGUUUCUUAAGUCUGAUGUGAAAGCCCCCGGCUCAACCGGGGAGGGUCAUUGGAAACUGGGGAACUUGAGUGCAGAAGAGGAGAGUGGAAUUCCACGUGUAGCGGUGAAAUGCGUAGAGAUGUGGAGGAACACCAGUGGCGAAGGCGACUCUCUGGUCUGUAACUGACGCUGAGGCGCGA